GGGGCGUAGCUCAGUUGGCAGAGCAACGGACUUUUAAUCCGUAGGUCACAGGUUCGAACCCUGUCGCCC
rnacentral:tRNA from 1 species